CCAAAGCACCACUGGAAAACAUUCUGCCAUUUGCAACACGUGGCCUUCAAGGUCACCCCGGGUAGGGAAAGAGAAAGGACGGUGGGUGAUUGUUGUGUCUGGACCACGCCUGGGAGGGGCGCUCUGCUCACAUUUCAUUGGCUGGAGUCAGUCACGUGGCUGCCCCUACCCGCUAGGGAGGCUGGGAAAUGUGGCCUAGUUGAGUGUCCAAGGGGAGGAAACGCGUAUUCAUGCGCACUGGCGGACUCUCCCAGAGCGGGGCAAGGAGCACACUUGGGCCAGCCCGAGGGCAAGCUGGAAGCACCGAGAGUUCCAGAAGCAGCAGGAAUUGGUGGAUAGAUACCUCCGCUCCCUGGCUCCCUGGUUGGGAUCACUGAGGGCUUCAUGGUCCCAAGAUGGCUGUCACUUCUGUAAGAACCAUCCUUGUUCCAGGAGGAGGAUACCACGGAGUCACUGAGCUCUCCUCUUCAUUCUUUUUUUUUUUUUAAGACAGUGUCUCACUCUGUCACCAGGCUAGA